AGAGAGAGACAUGCGCGCAUAUCAAUAAGCGGAGGAAAAGAAACUAACAUAGGAUUCCCUCAGUAACGGCGAGUGAAGCGGGAAGAGCUCAAAUUUGAAAUCUUCAAGGUUUUACCUCGACGAAUUGUAGUUUAAAGAAGUGUUUUCUGUUGGAGUUUUGGUAAAAGUUCUUUGGAAUAGGACAUCAUAGAGGGUGAGAAUCCCGUAUUUGACCAUUAUUUCCAGCUUUGUGAUACACUUUCAAAGAGUCGGAUUGUUUGGGAAUGCAGUCCAAAAUGGGUGGUAAAUUUCAUCUAAAGCUAAAUAUUGGCGAGAGACCGAUAGCGAACAAGUACCGUGAGGGAAAGAUGAAAAGAACUUUGAAAAGAGAGUUAAACAGUACGUGAAAUUGUCAAAAGGGAAGCGUUUGACACCAGUGUUGUUUUCUCGAAAAUCAAUUAAUGAAGGCUGGAUGUUAGUGUUGUAUUGACUUUAUCAGCAUUUACUGCCUCUAGUUUCUUGUCUUUUGUGAAUGCACUUUUCGUUUAACAAGUCAACAUCAAUUUCUUUUGUUGUAAAAGGGUCAUUGGAAGGUGGCUUUCUUUUCGGAGAAAGUGUUUAUAGCCUUCGGCCUCUGCAAUCGGAGAGAUUGAGGUCUGCAGCGUAGAUCCUUCGGGGUUAGAUACAUUUGUGCUAAGUUAUAGCCUUUCAUAGACAACUUGUUGACUAUGAUCAGUCAUGUAGCUUACUCGCUUAUGCUAUUUUACCUACGCUUAGGAUGUUGACAGCAGUAUAGACUGU
rnacentral:rRNA from 1 species